CUCUGCAACGACCAGGACUAACUUCUCUUUCUAAAAAUGACCGAAACAGUGGUGGGGGACGUAUGUGCAGACAUGUAGCACACUUUGUCAUGGAUCGCCUCCUUUAUGGGCCCAGUAUUCGGUCGGACCUGAUACCUCAGUGGACGGUAGUGGUCGCUUUCUUUACCUACUUGAUCAAGGACAAUGUAGAGAGCAAACAGGUGGUUUUAAUAGAAAACCUAUUGGAGAUGAUUUUGGAUGUCCAGCUGGACCAGAGCUGCUGGGUGCGGAAGAUCGGGGUAUGCCCCGGAGAAUUUGAAUAAGGAGCUCGUGGUGCGGUACUGCAAUCAGAUACUGGGCAUUUUAAUGAACUGUUUGGAUUGUCACAAUUUGGGGAACGAAAGCGAGCUGAUCCUGGAGUCCCUGCAAUCCUUCUCGAAACUCCUGAACAGUUUGCCAGGGUACAAAUUCAGUUCCUUUCAAGUUACCGGAGCAGUGAGGAUCAAGUUGCUAUUCAGUCAAGAGGAUCCACGUCUAAGGAGAUCCUCGAUCCAGUUAUUAGGAGAUCUGACAACAUCCUUUGGCCAGGAGACCAAUUUGGAGGCAUUCAAGGAUCGAGUGAGAUCCAAGGGAACCUCAUCACUUUACUCUUGCAUCUAUGCGCUCCAGACGUGUAUAUUGUCAAGGCCUGUAAAAGUACAAUGCAGAAGGUUGGCCCUUAUCUGGAUUUUCCGGAGGUAUACCGCAUGAUCCAGGAGUGUUUGGGCGAUGACACCGACUUGAUGUUCACGGAUUUUAUUGGGGAGUUAAUUAAACGCAUGGGAUUUAUGGAAUCAAAGAUAUCAAGGUUAUUUGGGGGUCAAAUCGAGGACGAGUUGGUUUAAAGGUGGCGUCUAAGGGCCAAUCCCGCCCUUGUCAUCGGUUUGUUCUACGCCGAACUACUACCCGAGAAUAAACCGAAAGUUUCACUGGAAACUGUCUGUGAUAAACUGAACAGACUGAUGCAAGACGAGUCAGAAGAAGUUAGGAUUAAGGCAAGUCAAGCUAUAUCGUGUUUGUUUUUAUAAUUAUUGUAGAACGGAAUGUGCUAGGGGGAUAGUACGAUUAAGUCUUUUAAAUCAGUUUUUAGUAAGAAAAUUUAAAAAAAGUCAACAGGGGUCAAAACUGACUUGUGGGUGGACUUUGUAGCUUAUAAGUUUAUCUCUGUCGCACUCAUUGUAAAAAAAAACUUGAAACGUGGAAAAACUGAAAUUUCACAAAGUUUAUUAGUUUUAAAAUUUUGCAUAACUUUUUUGUUAUUAAAGAUAGAGCUUUCAUUUAAAAACUGUCAAGUACUCCAUGCAAAGGGGCACCUUGCACAUAAUUAUCAAAAUUGAAAAAAAUAUAGUUUUUGAGAAAAAUCGAAAUUUAUGUUUUUUACGAUUAACAUGUACUUUUUUAGAUCGAAAAUUUUGCAUAACUUUUUUGUUAUUAAAGAUAGAGCUUUCAUUUAAAAACUGCCAAGUACUCCUCGCAAAGGGGCACCUUGCACAUAAUUAUCAAAAUUGAAAAAAUUAUGGUUUUUGAGAAAAAUCG